UUAGGGUUUUCUACAGGGACAGAGCUAAUAGGAUAGAUAUAAAUCUAAAGGGGAGUUUAUUAAGGAGUAUUAACUCACAUGAUCACAAGGUCCCACAAUUGGCUGUCUGCAAGCUGAGGAACA